UGCUCCUUUGCCUGUUUCUCUCUUCCCUUCUAAGGUGCCACGGCAGCCUCGACUUCUUUGAAUUUUUCCCUGCUCAGGUGGAACAGUGGGGCCCUGGAGAAUGAUCAGAGCAGAGGAUUGUAAUGAGGUAGGAUGGAGAUGGGAAAGAAGACAGACCUGUCUGUCCUUUCUCUGAAGACUUUGAGCCACCAUCCUGUCCCCUGCAUCUGUGAUGAAGACAAGUUAAUGAGAGUGAAGAUGAAGGUGGUGGAGCCUCUAUACAGGCCAGUUCUACCAAAGGACUCCAAAGUAACAGAAAGGAAUAGCGAGACCAUGGGGAAAUGUAUAGAGUGAUUAAUAAACCUGGAAGGAAGAGGUCUCCGGAAAGUGAGAAGUCCCUGCCAGAUCAGAUGUUCAACUUUAAAACAAAUGGAGGAAAAACAAUCAAAUGCAGUCAACUAGAAAAAUCCACUUUUCCUAUUUCAUAAAAAGCAAGAGCCCAUAUGAUAAUCCCUCCCUUGGCACAUGUUAGAGAUCUCUUUAUUGUUUCUUUGCUUGUGGCCAAUUCUGCCACGCCCAGCUGGAGGCCUGGGCUGUGUUGACUUCAUUUGCUCCAGGUCAGCGUGCUGGUUCUACAUCAGUAGGUCCAGCCCUGAAUUUGAGCAGUUUUCCAGGACCAGGACAUGACUGCCUGUGUGGAAGGGAAGGCGAGGAAGAGGGUGA
rnacentral:lncRNA from 1 species